UUAAGUAACUAAGCGUACAAGGUGGAUGCCUUGGCAAUCAGAGGCGAAGAAGGACGUGCUAAUCUGCGAAAAGCUUGGAUGAGUCGAUAAGAGGCGUUUAAUCCAAGAUAUCCGAAUGGGGAAACCCAGUAGAUGAAGAAUCUACUAUCAACAAGUGAAUUCAUAGCUUGUUGAGGCAAACCGGGAGAACUGAAACAUCUAAGUACCCCGAGGAAAAGAAAUCAACCGAGAUUUCGUCAGUAGCGGCGAGCGAAAGCGAAAGAGCCAGUAAGUGAUAGCAGUAUAGUGAGGAGAAUGUGUUGGGAAGCACAAUCAAAGAGGGUGAUAAUCCCGUAUCUAAAAACCAUAUUGUGGUACUAAGCUAACGAGAAGUAGGGCGGGACACGUGAUAUCCUGUUUGAAGAAGGGGGGACCAUCCUCCAAGGCUAAAUACUCCUGAUUGACCGAUAGUGAACCAGUACUGUGAAGGAAAGGCGAAAAGAACCCCGGUGAGGGGAGUGAAAUAGAACCUGAAACCUUGUACGUACAAGCAGUGGGAGCCCCAUCACUUAAUCCGAUUGGAAGGUGAUGAAAAGCAACCGCACUUAAACAAUGGUAAGAGGAGCGAAGCGAGUCAAACCACCCAAAAGAAGCAGUGGGAUUAAGUGAUGGGGUGACUGCGUACCUUUUGUAUAAUGGGUCAGCGACUUAUAUUUUGUAGCGAGGUUAACUGAAUAGGGGAGCCGAAGGGAAACCGAGUCUUAACUGGGCGAGUAGUUGCAAGGUAUAGACCCGAAACCCGGUGAUCUAGCCAUGGGCAGGUUGAAGGUUGGGUAACACUAACUGGAGGACCGAACCGACUAAUGUUGAAAAAUUAGCGGAUGACUUGUGGCUGGGGGUGAAAGGCCAAUCAAACCGGGAGAUAGCUGGUUCUCCCCGAAAUCUAUUUAGGUAGAGCCUUGAGGUGACACCUUUGGGGGUAGAGCACUGUUUCGGCUAGGGGGCCAUCCCGGCUUACCAACCCGAUGCAAACUACGAAUACCAAAGAGUGAUACUCAGGAGACACACGGCGGGUGCUAACGUCCGUCGUGGAGAGGGAAACAACCCAGACCGCCAGCUAAGGUCCCCAAGUCUAUAUUAAGUGGGAAACGAAGUGGGAAGGCUUAGACAGCUAGGAUGUUGGCUUAGAAGCAGCCAUCAUUUAAAGAAAGCGUAAUAGCUCACUAGUCGAGUCGGCCUGCGCGGAAGAUGUAACGGGGCUGAAAUAUAGCACCGAAGCUGCGGCAUCAGAAUUUAUUCUGUUGGGUAGGGGAGCGUUGUGUAAGCGGAAGAAGGUUCAUCGAGAGGUGGGCUGGACGUAUCACAAGUGCGAAUGCUGACAUAAGUAACGAUAAAACGGGUGAAAAACCCGUUCGCCGGAAGACCAAGGGUUCCUGUCCAACGUUAAUCGGGGCAGGGUGAGUCGGCUCCUAAGGCGAGGCUGAAAAGCGUAGUCGAUGGGAAACAGGUUAAUAUUCCUGUACUUGGUAAAGCUGCGAUGUGGGGACGGAGUAGGUUAGGUUAUCGCACUGUUGGAUAUGUGCGUUUAAGUUGGUAGGUGGGAAGUUUAGGCAAAUCCGGGCUUCCUUAACACAGAGAGAUGAUGACGAGGCUCUACGGAGCUGAAGUAACUGAUACCACACUUCCAGGAAAAGCCACUAAGCGAAAGGCUUUACUAAACCGUACUGAAAACCGACACAGGUGGUCAGGUAGAGAAUACUCAGGCGCUUGAGAGAACUCGGGUGAAGGAACUAGGCAAAAUAGCACCGUAACUUCGGGAGAAGGUGCGCCGGCGUAGAUUGUAAGGGCUAGCCCCUGAAGGUUGAACCGGUCGAAGAUACCAGCUGGCUGCAACUGUUUAUUAAAAACACAGCACUCUGCAAACACGAAAGUGGACGUAUAGGGUGUGAUGCCUGCCCGGUGCUGGAAGGUUAAUUGAUGGUGUAAUCGCAAGAGAAGCACCUGAUCGAAGCCCCAGUAAACGGCGGCCGUAACUAUAACGGUCCUAAGGUAGCGAAAUUCCUUGUCGGGUAAGUUCCGACCUGCACGAAUGGCAUAAUGAUGGCCAGGCUGUCUCCACCCGAGACUCAGUGAAAUUGAAAUCGCCGUGAAGAUGCGGUGUACCCGCGGCUAGACGGAAAGACCCCGUGAACCUUUACUAUAGCUUGACACUGAACAUUGAAUUUUGAUGUGUAGGAUAGGUGGGAGACUUAGAAGUAGUCACGCCAGUGAUUAUGGAGUCGACCUUGAAAUACCACCCUUUAACGUUUGAUGUUCUAACGAAGAUGACGAAACGUGGUCUCGGACAGUGUCUGGUGGGUAGUUUGACUGGGGCGGUCUCCUCCCAAAGCGUAACGGAGGAGCACGAAGGUUUGCUAAUCACGGUCGGACAUCGUGAGGUUAGUGCAAUGGUAUAAGCAAGCUUAACUGCGAGACAGACAAGUCGAGCAGGUACGAAAGUAGGUCAUAGUGAUCCGGUGGUUCUGAAUGGAAGGGCCAUCGCUCAACGGAUAAAAGGUACUCCGGGGAUAACAGGCUGAUACCGCCCAAGAGUUCAUAUCGACGGCGGUGUUUGGCACCUCGAUGUCGGCUCAUCACAUCCUGGGGCUGAAGUAGGUCCCAAGGGUAUGGCUGUUCGCCAUUUAAAGUGGUACGCGAGCUGGGUUUAGAACGUCGUGAGACAGUUCGGUCCCUAUCUGCCGUGGGCGUAGGAGAAUUGGUUGGGGCUGCUCCUAGUACGAGAGGACCGGAGUGGACGCACCACUGGUGUUCCGGUUGUGUCGCCAGACGCAUUGCCGGGUAGCUAAGUGCGGAAGAGAUAAGUGCUGAAAGCAUCUAAGCACGAAACUUGCCAAGAGAUGAGUUCUCCCAAUCUAAGAGAUUGUAAGGGUUGUUGUAGACUACGACGUAGAUAGGUCUGGUGUGUAAGUGUAGUGAUGCAUUGAGCUAACAGAUACUAAUUGCCCGAGAGGCUUAACUAU
rnacentral:rRNA from 1 species